ACGCCGCGUGAGGGAUGAAGGCCUUCGGGUUGUAAACCUCUUUCGAGCAGGGACGAUAAUGACGGUACCUGCAGAAGAAGCUCCGGCCAACUACGUGCCAGCAGCCGCGGUAAUACGUAGGGAGCAAGCGUUGUCCGGAUUCAUUGGGCGUAAAGAGCUCGUAGGCGGCUUGAUAAGUCGGAUGUGAAACCUCCAGGCUCAACCUGGAGUCGCCAUCCGAUACUGUCAUGGCUAGAGUCCGGUAGGGGCCCACGGAACUCCUGGUGUAGCGGUGAAAUGCGCAGAUAUCAGGAAGAACACCGAUGGCGAAGGCAGUGGGCUGGGCCGGUACUGACGCUGAGGAGCGAAAGCGUGGGGAGCGAACAGGAUUAGAUACCCUGGUAGUCCACGCCGUAAACGUUGGGCACUAGGUGUGGGGCCUUAUCAACGGGCUCCGUGCCGUAGCUAACGCAUUAAGUGCCCCGCCUGGGGAGUACGGCCGCAAGGCUAAAACUCAAAGGAAUUGACGGGGGCCCGCACAAGCGGCGGAGCAUGUGGCUUAAUUCGAGGCAACGCGAAGAACCUUACCUGGGUUGAACUACGUAGGAAAAGCCGUAGAGAUACGGUGUCCGCAAGGGCCUGCGAGAGGAAGUGCAUGGCC
rnacentral:rRNA from 1 species